GUGGAUUAGAUACCCUGGUAGUCCACGCCGUAAACGAUGGAUACUAGCUGUUGGGAGUAAUCUCAGUGGCUAAGCGAAAGUGAUAAGUAUCCCACCUGGGGAGUACGAACGCAAGUUUGAAACUCAAAGGAAUUGACGGGGGCCCGCACAAGCGGUGGAGCAUGUGGUUUAAUUCGAUGAUACGCGAGGAACCUUACCAAGGCUUAAAUGUAGAUUGACCGGUUUGGAAACAGAUCUUUCGCAAGACAAUUUACAAGGUGCUGCACGGUCGUCGACAGCU
rnacentral:rRNA from 1 species